rnacentral:rRNA from 1 species
GACGAACGCUGGCGGCGUGCCUAAUACAUGCAAGUCGAACGCAGUGGGGACGGGUGAGUAACACGUGGGUAACCUCCCAUCAGAGGGGAUAACACUUGGAAACAGGUGCUAAACCGAUAUUGAUGGAUGGACCCGCGGUGCAUUAGCUAGUUGGUGAGGUAAAGGCUCACCUAGGCGACGAUCUCUAGCUGGUCUGAGAGGAUGAUCAGCCACACUGGGACUGAGACACGGCCCAGACUCCUACGGGAGGCAGCAGUGGGGAAUAUUGCACAAUGGGCGCAAGCCUGAUGCAGCCAUGCCGCGUGUAUGAAGAAGGCCUUAGGGUUGUAAAGUACUUUAAGUUGGGAGGCGUUACCAACAGAAUAAGCACCGGCUAACUUCGUGCCAGCAGCCGCGGUAAUUC